AGCAUAGAUGAUAAUCAUGACUAGUUUCUCUAUAGAUUUGAUGGCUAGAGUGAUGGCUUUCAUUGUAUUAGCUCUAGCUGAUGCG